UGCAUAAUAAAGCCAGAGUUGUCGUCAUUGCUAUUGUUCCAAAGACUUUUCAACUCAUAAGUAAUGAUGCUCAAUUAUUAUAGUCUAGUUUCACUGUUUUGAUGGCUCAAAUUGCAGGAAAUAUUGCUGUCCUGUCAGGGUGAGAACUGAACGACUCUAACCCAUAUUAUGUUGCGUAACCAGUAUAAUAUAAUCUGUGGUAAUUAGGAUUAAUUUGACGUAUAAUUUGACUGGAAAAGAAAACCUGUUUACUAAAGUUUCCUGCAAAUUACUAAAAAGGGUCAAAUCAUUUACAGAAGCAGUCAAUUUUCCAAGGCACAAAAGUCAAAUCCUUGUUUUUUUAAAAUUCAAAUCACAUGACAUGUUGCUUUAAUUAUACAUAGAAAACAAAAGAGAGAAAAGAAAGAGAAUGGAACUAACCGCAAGUGGAAUACCCAAGACACCGAAUACAGCCAAAGCAGAGCCUGUAAUGUUCAAUGGAGGAUGGGUGAGUGGGGACCCAUGGUGUUGUCUCCAAGCCUCAGCCAUCUUUGUGAUCAACACCGUAGACGCCAAGCACGCACACAAGAUGAAGUUGACGAUUGCCCACAAGUUCUUGACUCCACCGAUCAACCGCCCUGCAGGCUCUAACCCCAGUGAAGUCAACCCCAAGACGAUGGAGUUAAUCAUCAAC
rnacentral:lncRNA from 1 species